ensembl:lncRNA
AAUUAAUACCAACCCACUUUUUGUAUUGUUCAAGUUGAGAAUCAAGUCUGCAAAUUGCAAGCAACACAAAGUCAAGCCACAUCUGAAGCAAAGUGCUGCUUUAAUUUGAAAACUUGUUUUUUUUUUCCCCCUCCAGUUAAAAAGACGCCAAGAAAUCGAGCAGAAAUUGGAAGUGCAGGCAGAACAGGAGCGUAAAAAAGUUGAGAGUGAAAGGAGAGAGCUCUUUGAAGAAAGACGUGCCAAACAAACAGAGAUGCGUCUUCUGGAGCACAAAGUGGAGCUCGCUCAACUGCAAGAAGAGUGGAAUGCACAUAAUUCUAAGCUCAUCAAGUUCAUUCGAACAAAGACCAACCCCCCGAUCUUCUACCUGCCCGGGCGAAUGUGCUCUGCUACUCAAAAGCUCCUGGAGGAGUCUCAGAAAAAAUUAAAUGGUGUGUUUGAUGAGAGACGUGAAGCCUUUGCAGAGCAACUCAACAAAAUGGAGGCUCGGCCAAGGCGUCAGUCCCAAAGGACAGGUGACAAAGAAAAGGAGGAUAACCGUCGGUCUGAAGAGACGAAGAAAGAAGAUCAAGAGGAGGGUAAGGCUGGAGUAGGGCGGACAGGUAACAGACAUGAUGUGGAGAUGGAGGACGAGGAGGAAGAUCUAGUCGAGGAGGAAGGAGAGGAGAGCUUUGAGAUUAGGGAGAGGGAGGGGGAUCAGGAGCAGGGUGAGGAGAAGGACAAACACGAGGAGAGUGAGAGGAAGGCAGAUGAGGAAGAUGAGGAGGAGGAGGAUAUGGGAGCAAGUGAGGUUAAGGAAGAGGGGGAAGAGCAGAUGGAGGGCACAGAAGUUGAGAGGGAAGAUGAGGCACAGGGUAAGUUGCUGGUUGAGAGUCCAGAAGCCACAGUUGAAGAGGUAGGUAAUGUGCAAAAGGAGCAAGAGCAGGAGACCGAGAACGAGACUCUGCAGGAUGUUGUAACAGACUCUCAGCAAACCCCUGAAAGCCACAUGGAAAUACAGCCUGAGGAAUGUAAACCGCCUCAACUGGACGUCCCGAUCUCUAGUGUAACGGAACAUGACACCAAACAAGAUGAUACGGCGUCUGAUACCCAACAGCUACAGCUUGAAACUGACCCAGAAGUCCUUUCUCAAGCGCAAAACCAAGAACCAUCAGUCCAACCACAAGAAGCCAAAGCGGACACAAAGGAAGCUAGCAAGGAGGCAGAUGACUCACGCGGACGGGCCAAAAUCCAUGCCAAGAGGAGCAAGAGCCAAAGUAGCAGCAGCUCCUCUUCCAGUUCCUCUUCAAGCUCCUCCUCCAGUGGAUCCAGCUCCUCUUCCAGUGGCUCCAGUAGUAAGAGCAGUUCAUCUGGCUCCUCAUCAUCUUCCAGUUCACGCUCCCGUAGUCAUGGCAGGGAUAGAGACGGCCGAGACCACAAGCGCCGCAGGAGACCAUCGGACAGGGAGCACAGAAAGAGUGGCAGUGAGAGGGGACACAAGUCCUCAAAAGGCAGUGGACGAGAAAACAAGAGCUCCAAAGACAAGAACUCCAAACCUGACAGGAAGAGGACGAGUUCAGAAGGAAGCCGGUCAGGAAAGAGGUCCUCCAGAAGCGAGAGAGAUCGGAAGUCUGAUCGAAAGGAUCGACGUUGAGAAGUUGCUGCCAGUCUUGCAUAGUUUCUUCAAGGCCAUUGUGUGGUUACUUAGAUUUUUGAGGUGCAGUUGCCUUGCUAUUGUUCUUGAGUGGGUUUUACAUUUCCAUUCUCCAUCUCCCAAUCUUUUUUUCUUUUAGUUUCGUCUGGCAACUGGUUAUUUCAGUAUCUUGGAAUUUUUAAGAUUUAUAAACUGCUUUUAAGAACCAUCACUCUAAACAAAUUGGUUUCACACUACAUCAGACCUUCCACGUUAUCUGAUGGAAAUAACGCUUGAAAUGUGCUUCUCGUGCUGAUCCUUCAUCUGUUCCACCACAGUGUUGCCGGUUCCUGUCAUACAGUAGCUAAACCACUGAUGUUUUCAGUUAUGCGAUGCCAUACUAAUGUGAUUUUUACAUUCAGUAAAUAUAAAGCAACCAUUUUGACAGUAUCUUACAGUGAUGCAGUUCUUUUUCUUGUUGGCGCAAAAUUGGCUUUUUUUUUUUUUUUUUUUGGUAAUCACUCAUUAACAUAGAAAAAAGACAUUAAAGACAAUUUCUCUUCAUGUAUCUGAUUUUGUUUUUUUUAAUAUAUUUGCAUGUUUGUGAUCUUGUCACUUGAAAUUGUGUAUGCAGACAACACAAUGUUUUCAGUAUGACAAAACUGAAACAUUUAUGCAGACUUUUUAGUGUUAAAUUGUAUAAUUGAACAUGAGAAUUUCAACAAAUUUAGCUUCAUAAACCUAACACGGUAAAUCCUAUUUUAAAACUGCA